AUUCACCUCGCCCAUCUAUCCCUUCAAUCCUCUCACACUAUAGGAAAUCUCUUUGUUCCUUUGGAAAGUCCAGCGGCAUGCAGAUUCUAGAAUGAUUACCUGUCAGAGCAACAUUUGCAGAAAGCAGUUCUCUCAGAUGCAGGUUGCCCAGAGUUCUCCCUCCCACAGAAGGCCAGCAAAAUCUGCAUUUCAUUCAGGCUAACCUCUAAAAACACUGACACCUUCAUUAUUAUGAAUAUCAAAACCCAGUGGCAAAACCCAGAGCACAGAAAGAGAUGGGUGUAUCGCUGUUCUUCGAAUAAGACCUCUAGUUUUUCCUUUCCUAUAAGCCCCAGUUGCUAGUCUAAUUUAAAAACCCAGAAACAGGAAAGCCACUGCAAAUUUGGGGAAGUCUUUCUUAUCAGCUGGUAGACAUGCUUCAUCUGGUCGACUGUAAGUAGAGCAAAGCACUAGCACCACAUUGAACAAUAACCUAUAUUUCAUUAUCUCUAAACAACCAAAGCACUAAAUAGUCUUUAACAGUUACAUUAGAGUCUGGCAAAUACAUAGGAAUAUGUACUCUAGCAUAGAAAUUCACAACUUUUUUCCACGUAAACUCCAAAAACACCUACCAUGUUUUCCUAUGAUGACCCCAACCUCACUAUCCUUUGUGGCUGCCGAUUUCUAACUUUGAGCUGUUUUUUAAUAAGAAUAAAUGCACUGGAUGUUGUGAUCAGGGUCCUGUGUUUUCUACAAUUCUGUAGUUAAAGAAUCUGCCCCUUGCUAUAGAAGAGUGCUCCAGUAUAUAGGAUUUCAUCUUAAAACAAUGUUUCUAUCUCUUAUAGUCGCAAAGAAAACUUUCCACACGUCAAUUGCUUGUAAAUCAAUGCAGUUAUGCCUGCCAACAACCUGAAGUAGUAGAAACAUAGGACAUGGGACUGAAAAGGAUUAUCUGGGUCAUCAAGUUCAGUCCCCCAUUAGCACAGGCAACUGCAUUGUGUAAUCCCAUUCAUAAACUUAUCCUAAAAGCAGCUUGUUCAUCUAGGAGUAUGAUUAUUGCUUUGCAUAUGUAAAGGCCUGGGUUCAAAUCCCAGACAAAGUCUUGUAAAGGCCAUGAGUGGUCCUGUAUCUUUAAAGGGGAAAGAUGGGGCACUGACUUAGGCUGUAGGAGACCUGGAUUCUAUCCCCUUCUCUGCUAGUGACUUCCUGUAUGAAUUUGGGCAAGUCACUUAAUUUCUCUGGAACUUAGUUCUCUAUCUAUAAAAUGGAGAUAAUAAUACUACUACUGUCUUUAGAUUUUAAGAUCUUCAGCUCAGUAAUUGUCUUUGACUAUGUGCUUGUACAGCACAAUGGGGCCCUGACCUUAUUUUGGAAACUGUAGGUUCUACUGCAGUAGUAGGGUUAAUAAUAAUACUGUUGAUGAUGUCAGGUUAGUCCCCGAGGCUAUCCUGUAUUAUUAACUUCCGGGAGAUGGUUCAGUGGUGACAAACUUUAUAAUGCUGUGGAGCAUGGGCCAAAAAUUGUUUCCCCUGGUAUAGUUAGUGCUAUAAGAACAAUGAUAAAUUCCUGCAAAAAUUACAGAAAUUUCAAGGAGGAAUAGGGGGAGGAAAAAAGGCACUUAAACUGAAAAGCUUUGGGCUGUUUAAUGGAUUAAGCAUUGGCAUUUCUUUGCAGAGUUCCAGUUCAGAACCGUGACUGUAGAAAGGAAUAAUUGAAAAAAUAUUUUAAAGGUUAUGAGUUAAUAAAGUGUGAAAAUGUGUUGUGUGGCUGCCAUACUCUGCUCAGUUUUACAUUGACUUAUAUGUGAUAUUGCUCAUCUGGCUUGCAACUAAUUACAUAGGUGCUCACAAUGAAUUUUUUAUUCAUUUAUGUACAGUACAGGUUUUUAUUUAAUUAGGAAAUAAAACUUCACUGACACAAGAAUCUCGGUCACGAACAGAGUCCUAGCCAUCCUGUUGGGUUACAUUUCACUCCAGUCCAAUAAGGUAUCAUGUGCACAAAUACUUCUGAGCAAAGUGGUGAAAUUUUCAGGUAAGAAAAGAACAAAUUAAGUCAAUUUAAAAUGAGCCAGUCUCUCUUUAGGCAGCAGUAGUUAUGGAAAGAAUAUCACAAUGUAUGCUAAGUAGUGAUUUAGUGAUUGGGCCCAGACACAAGUGUAAUACUCUCUCUAAAAUUCAAAGGAUUUAUUGGAACAUUGCAAAUAACAACUCCAGCACACACAGGCAGGAAUUAACUUCUUCUAUUCACCACCUCCCUCCCCCUGAACCAAAACAACAACAUAAUAUCAAACAAAGACAACAGCUUACCACUGAAAUAAAGACACAGCACCAUCUAUUGGCAGAGGCACUGGCUACACUGAAGGAAGUUCUUCAGUAGAAGUAGAAAUCUGUGCUUCUGGAGUUGACGGAUCACAUUUUGAGUCCCAAUGCUAAUUUAAUUAGUAAUUGUGUCCCUUGUCUGCAUUUUUCAAUAUUAUUGUAAUAUGGCCUAGAUGAGCCAUCCUAGGAAAUUUGUGUCACAGGUUAAAGACCCUUGUGGGAGCUGUGCCAGGGCUGAGCCUGAGAGAAAGGAGCCCCAUAGUAACUCAUGUGAGAAGAAGACAGACUAAAUGGGAGGGGCCACUGACAGUUCAACAAGGAUUAUUGAACAAUCUGCUGCUCUUGCUACUUAAGAGAUGUUGUGUGUGGCUGCAGAGAUCAAAGCACAUCCUACUGUUACUGGCUGGAGUGGCUCAUGACUGAGCACCUGCCUCAUGCCAGACUGUCAAAAACAAGGCAGAUAUCCCCACCCUGGAGGUGUGUUCUAGAAGUAGAUUUCACCGAUACCAACAAAUGUGAACUCCUGGAUCACUAUAACAGUCUUACUAUGGAGUCACAGACAGUCCCCUUAGACUCUCCAGUCUACCUGGCUAACCAGAGCACCUGAACUUAGUGGUAAAUGGUCACUUUCACCAAAAAUCACAUGAUAUUCAGGUUGCAUCCCGUGGUAAGAGACUAGUCACAUACCCCACAUCAAUUGGUACCCUAGAUCUUACACCAAAGAUGGUAACUGCAGCCAAUCCUGUAAUAAACUAUCUAAAGGCUUAUUCCCUAGGAAAAAGAAAUAGAAUCAUUUACAGGUUAAAGCAACAAACAUAUACACACAGAUGAGUUACCAUCUGGCUCCUAAGAGUGACAGAGUUGUAGAGAUCUGUCACUUCAAGUGUCUUUCAGGGUGGACCCUGGAGGUAACCUCUGCGUGCAUCCGAUGAAGUGAGCUGUAGCUCAC